rnacentral:misc_RNA from 1 species
GUGAUUAAUCGAGGCGUGUCUUCAUUGACCGCUCACCCUUCUCACCAUCCACAUACACCUGUGCACUGUUUAGCCUGAGCCGGUUUUCCGGUCCAGGUUAUCAUUUCAUACAAACUCUAGUCUUAUGAAUGUAAACGUUUUAAUAACAUAAUA